rnacentral:tRNA from 1 species
AGGAUAAUAGUUAAUCAUAACAUUUGAUUUGCAUUCAAAAAGUAUUGAAAAAUAUUCAAUUUAUCUU